CACAGAUGCAUGAAAGAGGAGGAUGCUGUUCCUGAGCAAGCGUGGAGGAAGAUUGAGUUGUGCGUGGGAGGACAGAACAGGAGAACACUCCAGUUACUUGGGCCACUCCUCCAGCAAAUUUAAUAAGUAUUGUUAGAAAGUACUUUGCAAGGAAAAAUAAAGUUAAUCUCCUAAGCGUAGUUGAAUGAUGGGGCUGAGCUGGCAAUAAUAGUAAUUAAGAAAAAAACUUUAUUGAAAAAAAGUUGGCUAAUUUUCUACACCAUUCAGCUUUAUUCUGGGGGAAGAGGAGGUAGUGGUUUUUAUCACACAGUUUCCGAACUGGAUAAAUCACCCAAUCUAUAAGCCAUAACAAAUCCUUCUUCUGUUCCAGCUUUUUCUGAAGUUAUUUUUCCUCCAGAGAGGGAGAAUUGUAGCCCCAAACUUGAUUCAGAAAGGUCCAGGAUAUUCAAGCCUUCAAAGGUCAUUCAGACACAAACUAAGACAGACCAUCUCGCAAGCAUAUGGGGAUUGAGUUCAAAAUCAAAUCUAGGGUUUGGUGGAUCUUGGGAAGAGUACAGCUGUGGCAAUUUCAGUUCGAUGAAGCCAGAGGACCCUACACUGUUAAUGAAAUAUUACUCCUUUUCUUGGCAUCUCUCCGGUCAUUUUCAUCGUGACUUGUACUCAAAGCAGGGAUGUCUAUGUGCCUGGAUGGGACUGGACAUUCAAGAACUGAUCUCCGAGCAUCAUUCAGGAGCACCGAUUUCAAGAAAAGCCACCAUCGGGAUAGGACUGAAAUACAGAAGUGCUACCUCGAGAGGACAUAACCAGAUAGACUGCAAGGCAGAGGCAAGAUUUUCCCCAACAUCUUCAUACUGGUGA
rnacentral:lncRNA from 1 species